rnacentral:rRNA from 1 species
AGUGAACGCUGGCGGUAGGCCUAACACAUGCAAGUCGAACGGCAGCACAGUAAGAGCUUGCUCUUACGGGUGGCGAGUGGCGGACGGGUGAGGAAUACAUCGGAAUCUACUUUUUCGUGGGGGAUAACGCAGGGAAACUUACGCUAAUACCGCAUACGACCUACGGGUGAAAGCAGGGGAUCUUCGGACCUUGCGCGAUUGAAUGAGCCGAUGUCGGAUUAGCUAGUUGGCGGGGUAAAGGCCCACCAAGGCGACGAUCCGUAGCUGGUCUGAGAGGAUGAUCAGCCACACUGGAACUGAGACACGGUCCAGACUCCUACGGGAGACAGCAGUGGGGAAUAUUGGACAAUGGGCGCAAGCCUGAUCCAGCCAUACCGCGUGGGUGAAGAAGGCCUUCGGGUUGUAAAGCCCUUUUGUUGGGAAAGAAAAGCAGCAGGUUAAUACCCCGCUGUUCUGACGGUACCCAAAGAAUAAGCACCGGCUAACUUCGUG